AGCCACGCUAACCUGGGGCACUGGACAGGUUCUCCAGGGGUGAGAACCAACACCAUGCAUACAUAUGAGAGAAGGGGCCCUAUUAGACUGCCCUAAACAACACAGGUUGGCAAGUCCAACAAUGUCUGCUUAGUCCAUGAAGCCGGUGCCUCGGUGGUCUCAACGCACUGUCAAAAGCUGACAGGAUCCUGACCUGCCUGGAGAUGCUCUCCUCAGUGA
rnacentral:lncRNA from 1 species